UCCAUCCCUCUCUUUCUAUCCAUCCCUCUCUUUCUAUCCAUCCCUCUUUCUAUCCAUCUCAUUUUUCUCCCUUGCUAUAUCACACUGUAUCAUCUCUUCCCCUGUCCUCUCUUUCCUCUCUUUCUUUGCCAUCUCACUAUUCCAAUCUCUUGCCAUCUCCUCUCUUCCUCUCAUCUCUUUCUCCUGCUCUCUCUUUCUUCUCUCUCUUUCCCUCUCCUUCUGUUCUUAGCUCCAGCUACUCGACUGUGGCCCUAGAGUUUGAGAAGGCGCAUCAGAUCGCUCCCGUGUUCAACUCGCCCAGGAUGUCGCGGCGGAGCCUGCGGUCUCUAUGGCAAUGACAGACUGGCUGACUUCCCCUCCCAGAACCACAGCAGCGGAGGAUCCAAUCGUACAGAGUCAUGGAUGGUGAGGAGCAGAAAGCUGCAGCAGCAGCAGUCUGCCUCCAGCUCCCAGUCCCUGAACCAGAACCUGUCCCUGAACCAGUCCCUGUCCCUGAACCAGUCCCUGUCCCUGAACCAGUCCAUGUCCCUGAACCAGACGCCACGCAAGACCCUCUCCUUCUCCACUACCAACACUCCCUCUACGGGCUGCACCACUGCCAGCGAUGCCUCCCUGCUGUCCUCCAUCCUGGACCAGUCCAGCCUCCGCCAGCAAUCCACCACCACUACUACCACAGACGGCUACUGGGGUUCAGAUCACGAUACCAAUCUGAAAGGGAGGAGUUCAACGACAGACCACAGCUCAACGGGUGCGAAUGGCGGCGUCAACCCUGUAGCACAGCCACGCCAUGGUCGCCAACGGUUACAUCUGUAAAGACUGUUCCAUACACUGAGAGGAAAGAAGCUCUCACCACAUACUCCUCCUCUUCCUCGUCUCAGGCUGCCUCUGCUGCAGCAGCUGCCGCCACCUUCUCCUCUUCCUCGUCUCAGGCUGCCUCUGCUGCAGCAGCUGCUGCCGCCAUCUCAUCAUCAGCCUCAUCCUCCAGUUUAUACUGCACGGUCAAGAGUCAGAGGAGCAAGACAGGUCUCUUUGUGUCAGUCUCUAACACGUGUGUCCACUACAGCGGGCGAGCGUCCUGGCGUCCCUCUUAGACAGGGCCAGACGGGCUGUCUCCUCCAGCGCGUCCCGUGUCUCUUGGCUCUUUAAGCAGACCACUCUCCACAGGAUGAUGGGCUACAGGGCCAACGGCUACGAAGUCAAAGGUACCUGACCCACCGCCGACCUGAGGUCAGGAGGCAUGGGUCAAAGGUCAUCGAUCAUCAACGCUGACCAGUCCCCACCUCAGUGACCCUCUUUUUCCAGCCCUCUAUUUCCACUGUCCACCGACACGACUUUUCUUUCUCAAGCUCUUGGUCUUUGCAUUUCUGUGUCUGUGAAAACCUAUCUGUGAAGGCUGGGCAUAAGGUUAACUGCAUGUAUAGUAAUGGUUUUUGUAUUAUAAUGUAGAGGAAUGCUUCUCUCCACAGUAUGUACAGAUGCUGUUUUCUACUGUGUAGUUUCACCACAGAUAACUCUAUUUCAGUCUUCAGAGCCACUCUCUCCAGCUCUGUCCAUCUACCUCUGCAUGCUCAUCACUGAAACAGUCCUCCAUACUUCUUAAAGAGACAGAGACAGAACUCCUGUACCACCUCACUACCUGUCACUCAUCUUUGUUUUCCUCCUGUUCUCUCACUCUCUCUCUCUCGCUUUCUCUGUCUGUCUGUCUGUGUGUUUGUGUGUUUUUGCACAAAUCCCGACUACGUGAGGACUGGUUUCCAUAUGGUUAAAAGGGCAAUUUCAACUACAACCUAAAAUUAACAUUUAGUUCCCAAUGAUGUGAAGACUGGUGUCCAUACGUUUAAAAGGGCUCCACGUCAACGUGGAGGUGACGAUCACCACACUGGAAGGAUGAAUUUCGA